AAUUUUAAAAAUCUCUUCAAUUGGUGGGUAAGACAUUUAAAAAAUGAGGAAUGCUUCAAUACACCAUAAAUAUUAAAAUUUAACUCUUAUUUAGUAAAGGGUAUUGUUGGCUUUUAAAUGAAGUAACCUGUUGAAUAGGUUAUCGAUUUAAAUUAGUUAAUAUACCAAUAUUGGAAAAAAGAAUUAGUAGUAUAUAUCAAAUUUGUCAGCAUCCUAUAAAUAUUAAAUAUUUUAUUUAUUUUUUUGUUACUUACCAAAUUAGAUAAUAUCCAAUUUGUUGAGUAUUCAGCUAAAAAAAAUAAUUUAAAUUUAAUUUUUGAAGUUGGUAUUGUAAUGUAAAAUUUUAAUUUUGAAAUUUAUAAUAAACUUUUAAAUUUGAAUCUAAAUUGAGCAUUUAAUCUUAAAUCAAAAUUUUAAUUUUUGAUUUAAAUUAAAAUUUUGAAUUGGAACUGAAAGUUUUAUUUUAAAUUUGUAUUUUAUAUUUAAAAAAAUUGAAUUUGAUUUAUAAUUAAGUUUUAAAUAUUGUUUUAAAUUUAAACUUACAGUUUGAUUAUAAUUUGAAAUGUUGUAGGAAUUUAAAAAGGUCACAGUAUUCUUAGUUGGAUAAAACUGAUUCUGUAGACCAAAAUAUUUUGCAAAGACCAAAAUACUCUUUAAAUAGGUACCUGGUGAAUGGUAUCUACGCCUCAAUAGUAGGUCACCUCUAGAGUCAUAUUAAAUCUAAACCAACUAUUAAUAAAAAUAAAUGAUCAAGAUUUAUAUGGUGCAUUGAAGUAUUACUUUUAAAAAAUAAAGU
rnacentral:lncRNA from 1 species